rnacentral:lncRNA from 1 species
UCACAGUGUGGGAACGGAACUGUACGGUUUUCUAAUAAUUUGGUCAUUCGGGAGACUGUCAAGCGGUGCUCCGACAUUUGCAAAAUAACAAGUUGCUUGAUGGAAACUUUGACAAACUCUUAUGUUCCUAUAUAACGUUUCUGCUUCAAGUUUUGAUAGCUAAAACAUUCUUUAUGUAAAUAGGAACCAAUAAAAUAAUAAGAAAGAUAUAUGCAUCCAAACGUUUUCCUUAGAAUGGUGGAGCUCCGUGUAAAACGAUCAAAAUUGUCACACAACAGCGAUCAAAAAUGUCAAAUAAACAUCGAAAAAUCAAUGUUUGCUACCUGAAUUUUCACAUGUACCUUUUCUGAUAUAUAGUCUUACCUGUCUGAAAGUUUCAAAGCCAUUGUCCCAGUAGAAAUCUAAAUAUAUUCAUUUUCUCCAUGUCGGAUAUUUUUAUUGACUGUACAAUCGCUUGCAAGUUUACUGUAAUAUCACUCGGAGCCUUCCUGUACAAUCGCUUGGAGCUUUCCUGUAGAAUUGCU